rnacentral:rRNA from 2 species
UACGAAGGGUGCAAACGUUAUUCGGAAUCACUGGGCGUAAAGGGUGUGUAGACGGCAUACUAAGUUCGUUGUUUAAUCUUCCGGCCUAACCGGAAGCUCGCGAUGGAAACUGGUAAGCUUGAGGAUGGAAGAGAGAAGUGGAAUUCUCGGAGUAGCGGUAAAAUGCGUAGAUCUCGAGAGGAACACCGAUGGCGAAGGCAGCUUCUUGGUCCACUCCUGACGUUGAGACACGAAAGCGUGGGUAGCAAACAGG